UAUUAAAAAUUUCAUCUAUUUUUACUAUUAAAAACUAGCAUGAUUGAUAGAAUAAUCAGAUAGUUACAUGUGGUGUGCCACGAGUACCUUAUACUAAUGUAUAUGAACCAACUUUUACUAGUAACAAUGGGUACAAUUUUUAACA
rfam:Gossypium raimondii Chr05_contig_199, whole genome shotgun sequence.